AACGAGUCGAAAGUUUCGCGUACUAUUUCUAUACGAUCUGUUCGCUCAGUGUGAAACAACCUUAAAAUCACAAUUAAAAUGCUACGUGAUGAAAGGAGUGUAUAAUUGUGAAAUAAACAUUCUCGGUUCUUUGAAACUGCAAAGGUUAAUUACGGAAUUAUUACAAACCAAUCACUUGUAUAUGUGAUUUCGUAUUACAUUUAUUUAAUUUUGUUGCAGAUGCAAGCUCGGAUUACAUUUGUAGCACGUGUAACAAAAAAUACAAACAUUAUAGAACUCUAAGACGACAUCAACGAUUAGAAUGUAAUAAAGAAGCCCAAGAAAUUUGUCAGUUUUGCCAGAAGCGUUUCAAGCAUCGACAUCAUUUAACAGUUCAUAUUUUGUUGGUUCAUAAUAAUAAUCAAAAUUCGUAAUCGUAAAUACAAAGGUAUAUUUAUUUAUUUUGAAAUGUUCAAAAGUAUUUUUUAAUUGUAAACACUAAAAUAUUACUGGUAGAUAUAUUAAUAUUUGUAUUUUCGUUAAAGAAAACUUAAAAUCUGUGUUUCUGUAGGUACUUUAAUAACAAUAAAUUAAUAUAUGACAAAUGGUAGCAUUUUACGUGGCUGUUUUAUUUUAUGUACUUUCAUGCUGUAGUAAGGCUUAUGACAGACUGUUCGCUCAGUGUGAAACAACCUUAAAAACACAAUCAAAAUGCUAUGUGAUGAAACGAGUGUAUAAUUGUGAAAUAAACAGUUAAAAAAUUUCCAGAUCUUUACUUAAUACGAUUAUAUAUACAAUUAAAUUUCAGUAUUAUUUGUUUCACAAAAGGUAUUUGGUAAGUGCUUAUUUGUUUUGUUUCAGGUAUGUACUGUCAUCAGCAAGUCAAUGUCUUUGAACCGAAAGUUUCAGGAGUAGAAAGGAGAAAUUUCAAAUGUGCUUACUGCAGUUAUUAUGUUUCUAAACAAAAACAUAAUCUAAAGCUGCAUGUCUUACGUGUACACGUGGAAAAAAUGAGAGAAUUUGAACGGAUUUAUAAAGAUCUUCAACCAUCUUGAUAACUGACGCCAACUCAAAUGUAUGAGCCUAAGGAAGAAAUAUUCCUGGAAUCUGACGAUCCUUUUGAGUGUAAGAAAGAAAAACAUUUCUUCCAAUGUCCUUACUGUCCUCGAACAGCUCAACAACAA